UUUGUAGAGUCAGCCAGGCUGCACCUCAAGCCUCAGCCAGGGAGAACACUCUUAGAGGUUAAGAGGUGAAAACAAGCCGCUUCGGAGACUGGAGCAUGUGUGAGGCGGGGCUUUUCUGGCUCUGGCAGCCCGGAUCUAACUGUGGAGAUGGCCCUCAGAUGAAACAGCAGGCCGGCUGACCUUCAAACCCACAUCAUACCAUGUCUCACUGGACCCCAUCCCUGAUCCUUCAACUCUGAAGCUUGAAAUGGAACCACGUAAGCGUACUCACUGCACUAGCCAAAGCCACAGAUCCUGUCUUGUUUAAGACAAAGGGCUUUGAUUACAUUUAAAUACUUGAAAAUAUCA